UGUAACAUCGAUGAAUCUGCCUAGGCAU
rnacentral:sRNA from 1 species